rnacentral:rRNA from 1 species
UACGGAGGGUGCAAGCGUUAUCCGGAUUCACUGGGUUUAAAGGGUGCGUAGGCGGGCAAGUAAGUCAGUGGUGAAAUCUCCGAGCUUAACUCGGAACUGCCGUUGAUACUAUUUGUCUUGAAUAUUGUGGAGGUAAGCGGAAUAUGUCAUGUAGCGGUUAAAUGCUUAGAUAUGACAUAGAACACCAAUUGCGAAGGCAGCUGGCUACACAAAUAUUGACACUGAGGCACGAAAGCGUGGGGAUCAAACAGG